GGUUAAGCGACUAAGCGUACACGGUGGAUGCCCUGGCAGUCAGAGGCGAUGAAGGACGUGCUAAUCUGCGAUAAGCGUCGGUGAGGUGAUAUGAACCGUUAUAACCGGCGAUUUCCGAAUGGGGAAACCCAGUGUGUUUCGACACACUAUCAUUAACUGAAUCCAUAGGUUAAUGAGGCGAACCGGGGGAACUGAAACAUCUAAGUACCCCGAGGAAAAGAAAUCAACCGAGAUUCCCCCAGUAGCGGCGAGCGAACGGGGAGGAGCCCAGAGCCUGAAUCAGUGUGUGUGUUAGUGGAAGCGUCUGGAAAGGCGCGCGAUACAGGGUGACAGCCCCGUACACAAAAAUGCACAUAUUGUGAGCUCGAUGAGUAGGGCGGGACACGUGGUAUCCUGUCUGAAUAUGGGGGGACCAUCCUCCAAGGCUAAAUACUCCUGACUGACCGAUAGUGAACCAGUACCGUGAGGGAAAGGCGAAAAGAACCCCGGCGAGGGGAGUGAAAAAGAACCUGAAACCGUGUACGUACAAGCAGUGGGAGCCUCUUAAUGGGGUGACUGCGUACCUUUUGUAUAAUGGGUCAGCGACUUAUAUUCUGUAGCAAGGUUAACCGAAUAGGGGAGCCGAAGGGAAACCGAGUCUUAACUGGGCGUUAAGUUGCAGGGUAUAGACCCGAAACCCGGUGAUCUAGCCAUGGGCAGGUUGAAGGUUGGGUAACACUAACUGGAGGACCGAACCGACUAAUGUUGAAAAAUUAGCGGAUGACUUGUGGCUGGGGGUGAAAGGCCAAUC
rnacentral:rRNA from 1 species